GGUGUAGGAUUGGCUUUCUUGAUAAUCCUGAUCAUUGUCCUUGCUUGCAUCAUGUACAAGAUGAACCAGAGAAAGUGUCUGCAGUGCAGAGGAUCCGUCUCUCUGACACCAUGUCCAGCAGUCUCUUCUACAGAUGCAGGGGACCGAGAUGGAGACAGUGAUGUAUGCUGGGAUCAGACAGUAGAACUGGAUGAAUGAAACAGUCCAAUUAAUUCUCUUUUUAUCAACUCUCCCUUUAUUAACAUUAUUAUCUGUAUUACUGUAACACAUAAUUAUUGUAGCUUCUUGACUUGCCUAGUUCAAUAAAGGUAAAAAAGUGCAUUGCUUCUCUGCCAAACUCAUUUAAAUGGACUUGCUUGUGACAAGAUGAAUAAAGCAUUUA